rnacentral:rRNA from 1 species
GUAGGUGGCAAGCGUUGUCCGGAAUUAUUGGGCGUAAAGCGCGCGCAGGCGGUCCUUUAAGUGUGAUGUGAAAGCCCACGGCUCAACCGUGGAGGGUCAUUGGAAACUGGGGGACUUGAGUACAGAAGAGGAAAGCGGAAUUCCAAGCGUAGCGGUGAAAUGCGUAGAGAUUUGGAGGAACACCAGUGGCGAAGGCGGCUUUCUGGUCUGUAACUGACGCUGAGGCGCGAAAGCGUGGGGAGCAAACAGGGAUUAGAUACCCUGGUAGUCCACGCCGUAAACGAUGAGUGCUAAGUGUUAGGGGGUUUCCCGCCCCUUAGUGCUGCAGCUAACGCAUUAAGCACUCCGCCUGGGGAGUACGGCCGCAAGGCUG